UGGGGAAUAUUGGGCAAUGGGGGAAACCCUGACCCAGCGACGCCGCGUGAAGGAAGAAGGUCUUCGGAUUGUAAACUUCUGUCAACGGGAAAGAAACAAAUGACGGUACCCGUGGAGGAAGCCACGGCUAACUACGUGCCAGCAGCCGCGGUAAUACGUAGGUGGCAAGCGUUAUCCGGAUUUACUGGGUGUAAAGGGUGUGUAGGCGGGCAUGCAAGUCAGAUGUGAAAUUUAUGGGCUCAACCCAUAACGGCAUUUGAAACUGCAAGUCUUGAGUAUGGGAGAGGUAAAUGGAAUUCCCGGUGUAGCGGUGAAAUGCGUAGAUAUCGGGAGGAACAUCGGUGGCGAAGGCGAUUUACUGGACCAAAACUGACGCUGAGGCACGAAAGCGUGGGGAGCAAACA
rnacentral:rRNA from 1 species